rnacentral:miRNA from 1 species
UACCUCAAAAAACCACAACAGUCUGUUUCAUCCGUAUAGGAAUCAUCAGGUGGUCCUGAUGAUUCCUAUACGGAUGAAACAGACUGUGGUUCCU